AUUACUGGCCUGUUGAUGUGGUGUGGCAGAAUUAUUUGUCAAGAUUUGCUGUAACAUUGUGUCAGGGACGACAGAUGAGCUGAUGCAACAACUCUAAAAUUAGCCAUUUUUCUUUGAACUCAUUUGUUCUUGUAAUGCUUUUUUCCUCCCUUUCUACCUACACAGUGGAUAUUUUGUGCUUAGUAAUAAAUGAUCUUUAUGGU
rnacentral:lncRNA from 1 species